rnacentral:rRNA from 1 species
UACGGAGGGUGCAAGCGUUAAUCGGAAUUACUGGGCGUAAAGCGUGCGCAGGCGGUUUGUUAAGUCCGCUGUGAAAUCCCCGAGCUCAACUUGGGAAUUGCAGUGGAUACUGGCAAGCUGGAGUAUGGUAGAGGAAGGUGGAAUUCCCGGUGUAGCAGUGAAAUGCGUAGAGAUCGGGAGGAACACCAGUGGCGAAGGCGGCUCACUGGACUGGUAUUGACGCUGAGACGCGAAAGCGUGGGGAGCGAACAGG